AUUGAACGCUGGCGGCAUGCCUUACACAUGCAAGUCGAACGGCAGCACGGACUUCGGUCUGGUGGCGAGUGGCGAACGGGUGAGUAAUACAUCGGAACGUGCCCAGUAAUGGGGGAUAACGCAGCGAAAGUUGUGCUAAUACCGCAUACGCCCUGAGGGGGAAAGGGGGGGAGCGCAAGACCUCAGGUUAGUGGAGCGGCCGAUGGCUGAUUAGCUAGUGAGUGAGGUAAAGGCUCACCAAGGCGACGAUCAGUAGCUGGUCUGAGAGGACGACCAGCCACACUGGGACUGAGACACGGCCCAGACUCCUACGGGAGGCAGCAGUGGGGAAUUUUGGACAAUGGGCGAAAGCCUGAUCCAGCAAUGCCGCGUGUGCGAAGAAGGCCUUCGGGUUGUGAAGCACUUUUGUCAGGGAAGAAAACUGUUUGGCUAAUACCCGAAUAGGAUGUCGGUACCUGAAGAAUAAGCACCGGCUAACUACGUGCCAGCCGCCGCAGUAA
rnacentral:rRNA from 1 species